CUGGCCUGGCUGAGAAGACGCUGGAGCACAGACCUGAAUUCACUGAGGCAGCGUCGUGUGGGCGUCUGAGGGAACAGUGUUCCAGGCACAGGGAACAGCCAGUACAAAGGCCCUGGGGAAAUCCCUCCUGCUCCUCAGUGGGAAGACAGAAGCACCAGAGUGGCUUCAAAGGUGCUGCUGGUGCUCCUGCUGCUGCUGCUGCUCCAGGGACCCACACUUGGAGAAUGACUGCCCUGGAGGGCAGUUGUUGGGAAAUGCAGGCUGCAUGGCAGGAAAGUGACUGGCUGCAGAGAGCUGGAUGAUUAACACCCACAGGGAAAGGCCCAGGAUUUGGUGGACAGAGGUGGGGGGAACCCACCGUUUACGGAGGAGCUAGGACGUGUCAGGCAGCAAGCCACCUUGGGGAACAGGUAUUACUAUUCCUGUUAUAUAGAUGAGGAGAUUGAGGCUCAGAGAAGAGAAGCAACUUGCCCAAGAACACCCAGCUAGGAAGUUCCAGAGCUUAGACGCAACCCAGAGUUCCUGAGUGCAUGGACAGGACCCUUUCCACCUAGCCGUCUUCCAGGAACAGAGCUGUUCCCACUGGAGACAGCAUCUCUAAUGGUGAACCACAGGGCUCUGUCUUCACCUUUGGCCAAUUCAAAAUUAUUAUCAAACACGUAAACAUAUUGACAGGCUCACUCCUGUAAUCCCAGCACUUUGGGAGGCUGAGGCAAGCGAAUCACUGGAGUCCAGGAGUUUGAGACCACCAGCGUGAAGAACAUGGUGAAACCCCAACUCUACUAAAAAUACAAAACUGAGCCGGGCAUGGUGACACAAGCCUGUAAUCCCAGCUCCUCAAGAGGCUAAGGCACAAGAAUAGCUGGAACUCAGGAGGCAGAGGUUUCUGUGCACCACUGCACUCCAGCCUGGGUGACACAGCAAGACUGUCUCAAAAAAAUAAAAAGUAAGUGUAUGAAAGGCGUGUCAAUCCAUAUGCAUACAGUAUAAAGCCAAGAGGAGCCACGCCUGCUGAAAAAUGUUUUAAGAGUUGGCCAGGCGCAG
rnacentral:lncRNA from 10 species